UGCAGUGGUGUAGAGGUUGGGUGAUAAGGGGGCGUGUUUCAUCAUUAUCAAGCAGGUACAGUAGCCGCAAGGCUUAAGAGGUUAGGAUGCGAAAAAAUCGUACAAAAAGAGAGAGAAAAAGCCAUGGAAAUCAGUCGAGUGAGAAUCUCCGACACGGCAACAACCGCUGCCCACUAUUUGUCACCAACUUCCUUUUUCAUCGUAUUGAACCAGUUCAAGCAUAGUUAACUAUGGCUUUGUACUGCUGUUGGUUGUUGUAUCGUUGAUAACUGGGUCAACCACGAGUUUACCGAUGUCUGGGUAUGGUGGAUACUGGAUUCCAAGCAACAGCAGCGAAAGAAUAGUACACCACGUUGCAGCCUUAAAACACAACAACGUCAACAUGCGUAAUACCUACUUACUACACCAUCAAGGCUCCAAGACUACACGAAAACUUACGCUGCCCUUGAGCUACUACACGGAGUUUCAUCACCAAAGCGCCUGAGUACUACCCAGAGGCUCCCAAUUACUAUUCUCGUUAUAGCUACUACACCGAGGUUGCAGCUUGUUACACCACCAAGGCGGUUGAGUACCACGCCGAAGCGUUCAAGUACUAUACUGCAACCUACUGCCGCGCACUAUUUGUCACCAACUGCCUUCAUCGUAUUGAUCUAGUUCUCAAUAAUGGCUAACUAUGGCUUUGUGCUGCUUUUUGGUUUUGCAUCGUUGAUGGCUGUGUCCAACAUUGGUGUACCGAUGUCUCGUGGGUAUGGCGGAUAGCAAACCGCAACGCCGCUGCCUUACUACACAACAACAACAACAUACGCAACAGUCGGUUACUACACCACCAAGUCUUCAGAGUAUUACACCGAAACUUAUGAUGCCCCGAGCUACUACACCGAGCUCCGAACUAUAAGUCUGCCCUGAGUUACAUUACCAAAGAGCCGGAGUACUACCCCAAAGCGCCCAAAUACUACAUUAAAACCUACGCUGCUCCUAGCUACUACACCGACGCCCCGAAGUAUUACUCUGCGGAUAAGGAGUCGUCUAAUAAAAAAGUCGUAUUAAAGGAAAGAGAAAAGGAAGUAGAAAUCAGUCGAGUGAGGAUCUCCUACACGUCAACAACUGCAGUGUACUGUCUGUCACCAACUGCAUUCCUCAUCGUGUAACCAAAUCGCAAUCAUGGCAGGUACAAUUACCGCACUGCUCGAGUUGAAAGGUUAAUCAGUAGAAGGAAAAACUUAUUAAGCGAAAGAUAAAUGUCGAUAGAAGUCAGUCGAAUGAGCAUCUCCGAUAUGCAACAACCAGUUCGCAAUCAUGGUUAACCAUAGCGUCUGCCCCGAGCUACACCACCAAGGUACCGGAGUACUACACGAAUACGUAUGCUGCCCCAACCUACUACACCGAGGCUGCCAAGUGCAACUCUGUCCUCAGCUACUUACUGCACCAAUCCUAAGUACUACUUUGUUCCCAUCUACUACACCGAAGCUCUAGCUUAUUACAUCCCCGAAGCGGUCUACUAUUACACCGAAGCGCCUAAGUACUACACUGCAACCUACGCUUCACCACGGAGCCAUCGGAAUACUAAAUCAUAACCUAGCCUACUACACCGCCCCGAUCUACACAACCACAUCUGAGCCAGUCAAGUAUUGUUAUACAGCGCCUUCAAUUUUCUAGUAAGGUGGCAGUGUCUUAUGUUAAGGGUUUUGAAUUGGAAUUGGAAAAAUCCCGAAAGUGUUCUGUUCAGUACUGGUUCUAUUGCAGCCUAUGCCGAUGAAAGGAAUUUUGUAUUUUGUUAACUUCAUAUUAUGUACAGUUUAAAAAAGUUAAUUAACUGUUAUUAAACGUUUAUAUGUAAA
rnacentral:lncRNA from 1 species